rnacentral:rRNA from 1 species
UAAUACAGAGGUCUCAAGCGUUGUUCGGAUUCAUUGGGCGUAAAGGGUGCGUAGGUGGCGAUGUAAGUCUGGUGUGAAAUUUCGGAGCUCAACUCCGAAACUGCAUUGGAUACUGCGUUGCUCGAGGAUUGUAGAGGAGAGUGGAAUUCACGGUGUAGCAGUGAAAUGCGUAGAUAUCGUGAGGAAGACCAGUUGCGAAGGCGACUCUCUGGGCAAUUCCUGACACUGAGGCACGAAGGCCAGGGGAGCAAACGGG